GAUGAACGCUGGCGGCGUGCCUAACACAUGCAAGUCGAACGGACUCAUACUGAAACCUAGUGAUUUAUGAGUUAGUGGCGGACGGGUGAGUAACGCGUGGAUAACCUGCCGUAUACCGGGGGAUAACACUUAGAAAUAGGUGCUAAUACCGCAUGAGCGCACAGCUCCGCAUGGGGCGGUGUGAAAAACUCCGGUGGUAUACGAUGGAUCCGCGUCUGAUUAGCCAGUUGGCGGGGUAACGGCCCACCAAGGCGACGAUCAGUAGCCGGCCUGAGAGGGUGGACGGCCACAUUGGGACUGAGACACGGCCCAA
rnacentral:rRNA from 1 species